CGACGUGCCGCUCUUCACUCAUGGCUAUGAGUACAAGGACAUCACUUUGUAUGGCUUCUCUGGCACCUUCGAGAUCCUCAUGCGGGAUCAUGAAACAUCAGAAGUCCAGAGUUCAACUGUCAAGACUUGCCCAUUCUCCAAUGCUGAAUUCAUUAUGUGUUCGACUGAUGGGAGGAUGACUGUGGUGGCUGACUUGUCUCUGGCCAUCCCAAGUGGAGGAAAUCCUGCCAGAACAAACCU